UCUGCAGAGGCCUGGGCCCUGGCAGGGAGGGGAGGGCAAGGUGGGGCCAAAGGAAGCAACCAGAAGAGAGGAAGCUAGCUCUUUCAGGGGGUCCCACUGGAAACAGGGGGCUGCAGAGGCGCUGACUCUGAGACCCUCCAACUGCAGGACCAUCCUGGUGACCCUCAAGAGGGUGACUGGACGGGGAUUUGAACUGCAGCUGCUACACAGGACCAGCUUCUCCUGAACAGCAUACUACCCCUACACCAUGGAGCCAGCCCUGCUGAAGAGGCUGUGUGACAGCAAGUUGAAGUAAGAGCUGUGAUCGUCUCUUCAAUCAGAACGCGUCCAUCUACAAGACUGCAUUUCUCAGCCUCACUUGCAGCUAAGAAUGGCCAAGGAGAUACGAACAGAAAUCACAGGGGGGAAGCUGAGUCGGCUGCUAGGCCUCCCCUUUCACAUGUUCCCUCCUUCUUCCUACCUGGAACAUGUUACAAUGGUUGAGCCUCAGCAGCCAUUCGCUGACCUUGAGACAAAACGCGCGAAAGCGGGAUUCCCGAUUCUUGUAUGACGAAAUCACCUGUCUUGCUUUGUUUUGUUUUUUAAUACUGAUGUCUGCUUCCUAC